GAAGGAUCUUGGGAAACCUCCCUCCAGAGCACACUAAGGAAUUGACUGCAAGUGGAGUUCAGUAGUUUACAGCCCCCUGCAGGAAAAUGGAUGGAACUGAAGAUCAUCAUGUUAGGUGAAAUAAGCCAGAUUCAGAAAGACAAAUAUCAUAUGUUUACUCUCAUAUGUGGAAUCAAGAAGGGCAAAAGGAAUGGAGGGAAGAGAUGACAUGAAGGCAUUGAGGAGCGUGAACCCAGGACGGCCUGUUACCAGAACAUCUGAAGGUCUGUUCCUCAUCUUGCAUGCUGUCCUCUCAAGCGUGGAUGGUUUAGCCUCACAAUGACUUUGAAAGACUUCCUGGAUUUUUCCCUUUGAAAACUACUGAACGGGAACUUCAUACUCUUAAACCAC
rnacentral:lncRNA from 1 species